rnacentral:rRNA from 1 species
AACGAACGUUAGCGGCGCGCUUAACACAUGCAAGUCGCACGAGAAAGGGCUUCGGCCCCGGUAAAGUGGCGCACGGGGUGAGUAACACGUGGGUAACCUGCCCUCGAGCGGGGGAUAACAUUCCGAAAGGAGUGCUAAUACCGCAUAAGACCACGACCUCGAAAGAGGACGAGGUCAAAGCUGGCCUCUGUAUACACGCUAGCACUUGAGGAUGGGCCCGCGGAGCAUCAGCUAGUUGGUAGGGUAAUGGCCUACCAAGGCUAAGACGCUUAGCUGGUCUGAGAGGAUGAUCAGCCACACUGGAACUGAGACACGGUCCAGACUCCUACGGGUGGCAG